UGGGGAAUUUUGGACAAUGGGCGAAAGCCUGAUCCAGCAAUGCCGCGUGUGUGAAGAAGGCCUUCGGGUUGUAAAGCACUUUUGUCCGGAAAGAAAUCCUUGGCUCUAAUACAGUCGGGGGAUGACGGUACCGGAAGAAUAAGCACCGGCUAACUACGUGCCAGCAGCCGCGGUAAUACGUAGGGUGCAAGCGUUAAUCGGAAUUACUGGGCGUAAAGCGUGCGCAGGCGGUUUGCUAAGACCGAUGUGAAAUCCCCGGGCUCAACCUGGGAACUGCAUUGGUGACUGGCAGGCUAGAGUAUGGCAGAGGGGGGUAGAAUUCCACGUGUAGCAGUGAAAUGCGUAGAGAUGUGGAGGAAUACCGAUGGCGAAGGCAGCCCCCUGGGCCAAUACUGACGCUCAUGCACGAAAGCGUGGGGAGCAAACAGGAUUAGAUACCCUGGUAGUCCACGCCCUAAAACGAUGUCAACUAGUUGUUGGGGAAUUCAUUUCCUAGUAACGUAGCUAACGCGUGAAGUUGACCGCCUGGGGAGUACGGUCGCAAGAUUAAAACU
rnacentral:rRNA from 1 species